GACAGAGGUGCCGAGCGUUAGGCGGAAUCACUGGGCUUAAAGCGUGUGUAGGCGGGUCGUUAAGUACCUUGUGAAAUCCCCCGGCUCAACCGGGGAACUGCUGGGUAUACUGGCGAUCUUGAGCGAUCUAGGGGCAGAUGGAACAAGUGGUGGAGCGGUGAAAUGCGUAGAUAUCAUUUGGAACGCCAAUGGUGAAAACAGGUAGCUGGGAGUGUGCUGACGCUGAGACACGAAAGCCAGGGGAGCGAACGGG
rnacentral:rRNA from 1 species